rnacentral:rRNA from 1 species
AUGAGGAAGCCGAUUUGUAAUGCUCAGAACGCAGAAGGAACAUCAGCUGAAGGAGCGGCUGUAGCUGGUGAUGGAAGAGAGGCACUUGCAUUUGCCCACCAGAAGUACAGAUCGGUAAAGUACAGAGAAACUUCAGAGCAUGGUAGCAUUGUUUAUGAGAAGAAUCCACGACGGACUGAUAAUCUAAUUCUUCUUGGAAUUAUCUACUGUCAGUUUAUGACUUGGUGCUCGCUGAAGCUUCUAUUUUCUACCAAAAGUGCUAUUAAACAAAAGAACUCUACCGAUCCAGGAUUUUAUCCUAAGUUGCUAUUAAACUCACAAGAGGGAGCCUUUUAA